UUGUGCAAAGGUAACAUAAUCAUUAGUCUUGUAAUUUAAGACUGGGAUGAAAGGAUAGACUAGAAAACGUCUUUCUUAAUUAUUUAUUUUUAAUUUUACUUUUUAGUAAAAAGGCUAAAAUAUUUCUUUUAGACAAGAAGACCCUAUAAAACUUUACAUAAAAAAGUUUAAUAAACUAUGGAUAUGUUUUGCUGGGGCGGCAGGAAGAUAAAACACUUUCAAAUUUUGAAAAUAUUAUUAUUUCAAUACCCAAAACUUUUGAAAAUUAAAUAAGUUACUUUAGGGAUAACAGCGUUAUAUAUUUUAAGAGCUCUAAUUGACAAAUAUGUUUGCGACCUCGAUGUUGGAUUAAAUUUCCUUUAUNGCGCAAGAGCAAUAAUAGGAGGNCGNC
rnacentral:rRNA from 1 species